AUCUGCACAGUGACUGCACGACUUAAUAUAAAAACCAUUCUACUCCCUACUUUUUAUCCACCUUUACUUCUUCCACAAGUAUUAGGGGCCUAAUUACAGUUAAUGGUACUCAUACCAGCUAAAAUGAGAUGCUUAGUAUGCAUUUUGAUGCACCCAAAGCUUAUAACAGGAUUGCUUCAUGUAAAACUCAGUUUGACUUUCUAGGUAAUCAUUUAUAUUUUUAAAGAAAAAGAUAUUGCGAAAACACAGGAUUCAUACUAUGUCAAUAAGCAAAUCAGUUGGCCCGAAAUUGUUUGAAACAACUUGACCAGCAAGAAACAGAUUGAUGACUGUAGCUUCAGUCUGUGACAGAUAAAUAAAUUGAUACAAAGUAAAUGCAAAUUUACCUGUAGCUUCAGUCUGUGACAACCAAAUGCUAAACCCUGAAUAAAGAUGUCUCCAUUUAUCGGUCCUUCCUGCAGCCCCAUGAGACCCUCCUAAGGUUGCAACAACAGCCCGGACAUGACUGCCAGGACAAGCAAGCCAAGGUGAUGCCUUUUUACAUGUUUUUAAUAAUAACUGAGACAUACACCUUACCAACUUAAGCUUUCUAAUAUUGCACUUUCUGCUUCAGCCACAGAGUCAGAGCCUUUAGCGAGCACCCCUGCGACAGAUCAAACUAAUUAAUAGCUGCAAGCUGGUUACGACAUAGCACAAUGAGUUUCUAGAAAACUGUAUAUUGAAAUAUCAUUUCAUGAAAUAAUAGUAAAUCUCAUUUUUCUUUGAGAAGUAUAACUUCAAAGUAGUAAUUAGCGAAGAUAUCUAUAAUCAGUGGCUAACAUGAUCGCGUAUGAAUUACAUAGCUAAAUUGUGGGAAAAGGUGCGCAAGCUCUGACAUAAGGAUUUGUACUGCCAUACUGUACAAGACAAGAUGAAGAAUGGCAACUACCUUUCUCAUCAGUGAUUUAACGAAUCCACUCAACAUGUGCAUGGAGAUUAGAUGUAAAUAUGAGUGACAUACUUAUAGACUUGUGGUGCUUCUAAAGAAAAUUUUAUCGACUUUUAGAACUACAGAUACAGAAAGACGGAGAGGAAAACCAGGGAGGCAUAUCCAUAUCCAUGAAUGUGUAUCAUUUAUGUAACCAUGCAUGAGUGAUGGAAUUGAGGUCCAGUCAUGUGCAUAUCCUUGGGACUAAGGAGCUAGGGUUAAUGAUUAAGCAUCCCACAUUUAGUGAAACAGAAAGAUGUAACUCACAU
rnacentral:lncRNA from 1 species